AUGCAUCUGAGGAAUUAUUGGAAGUUGAUUUCAAGAUCGAGGGCAUCGAGGGCGUUCAAAUGGAAAUUAAUGGUCGAUCAGUAUGGCACAAAAAUCGAGGUUAAAAGAAUUGUACCAGUGCAUCUAUCGAAUUCAGUAAGAGAGUUCUUCUAGGGCUGCUUGUAGAGUACGCUACAUGUGAAUAGGGGCCAUGUAAUUGUAUUUUGUUUUAUAUACAAGUCUGAAAAUCUAUGUUAUUUCUUCGUACUGAUAAAUCAU